AUGACGUCUUGUGUCGAGAUUGAACUCAAGCCUUCCAUAACUUCAGGUGGCUUCUUCCAGCAAUAUUACCAAAAACAAUUCGUUUUUUUAUUUGUAGUGGGGUCUGUAAUUUUCUUAAAUAAAUUACUUUUUCUUUACUACUGUAUGUUUGUUGGGCUUGUCAUGGGCUUGGGGCGAUUUGUUGCAGCUAGGAUAGUAACAAUUCAUAUCAGGCUUGCUGAAACUUAUCCCAUCUGCACAGAUUUAAUGUCAGCUGUACUAUGGGCUUAUAGUUUAGCUGAUGUGCCUUGCGCCCCCCUGCUAGUGAUCGUUAUUAUCAUGCAGCAGAUAAUUUAUGUGCCAAUUCUUUUAGGCGUACUAAUAUGA
rnacentral:rRNA from 1 species